CUUGCUGGUGUGGAUGAGUGGCGAACGGGUGAGUAAUACGUGAGUAACCUGCCCUUGACUCUGGGAUAAGCCCGGGAAACUGGGUCUAAUACUGGAUGCUACAUGUCACCGCAUGGUGGUGUGUGGAAAGGGUUUACUGGUCUUGGAUGGGCUCACGGCCUAUCAGCUUGUUGGUGAGGUAAUGGCUCACCAAGGCGACGACGGGUAGCCGGCCUGAGAGGGUGACCGGCCACACUGGGACUGAGACACGGCCCAGACUCCUACGGGAGGCAGCAGUGGGGAAUAUUGCACAAUGGGCGAAAGCCUGAUGCAGCGACGCCGCGUGAGGGAUGACGGCCUUCGGGUUGUAAACCUCUUUCAGCAGGGAAGAAGCCACAAGUGACGGUACCUGCAGAAGAAGCGCCGGCUAACUACGUGCCAGCAGCCGCGGUAAUACGUAGGGCGCAAGCGUUGUCCGGAAUUAUUGGGCGUAAAGAGCUCGUAGGCGGUUUGUCGCGUCUGCUGUGAAAGCCCGGGGCUUAACCCCGGGUGUGCAGUGGGUACGGGCAGACUAGAGUGCAGUAGGGGAGACUGGAAUUCCUGGUGUAGCGGUGGAAUGCGCAGAUAUCAGGAGGAACACCGAUGGCGAAGGCAGGUCUCUGGGCUGUUACUGACGCUGAGGAGCG
rnacentral:rRNA from 1 species